UAAUAAUAAUAAUAAUAAUCUUUAUUAUCCGUAAGGAAAUUUGUCUUACAAUUUGUGCAUUACACCAAACAAAAAACAUUAUAACUAUAAGAAACCAAAGUGUACAUUCACACCAGACUCACUCAUAAUUUACAUGUGACAAACUUUUUUUGAGAUGUUUGUCUCAAACAACUGCCCAAAUGGGGUUUGUUUUUUGCCAAUGAUUUUGCCAGCAGCAUUUAGGAUUCUAUAAAGUUUAUUUUUAUUUUUAAUGCUCAGAUUGCCAUACCAGGCAGAGA